rnacentral:rRNA from 1 species
UACGUAGGGGGCAAGCGUUGUCCGGACUUACUGGGCGUAAAGCGCGUGCAGGCGGAUUGGUAUGUGCCGUGUGAAAGCUCCCAGCUUGCCUGGGAGAGGUCGCGGUAGACAGCCGAUCUGGAGGCUCGGAGAGGUUAGUGGAAUUCCCGGUGUAGCAGUGAAAUGCGUAGAUAUCGAGAGGAACACUAGUGGCGAAGGCGAGACUCUGGACAGUUUCUGACACUGAUGCACGAAGGUCAGGGGAGCAAACGGG